UGUAUUUAUUAGAUAAAAAACCAAUGCCCUUCGGGGCUUUUUGGUGGUUCAUGAUAACUUUACGGAUCGCAUAGCCUUGCGCUGGCGACGGUUCAUUCAAAUUUCUGCCCUAUCAACUUUCGAUGGUAAGGUAUUGGCUUACCAUGGUUUCAACGGGUAACGGGGAAUUAGGGUUCGAUUCCGGAGAGGGAGCCUGAGAAACGGCUACCACAUCCAAGGAAGGCAGCAGGCGCGCAAAUUACCCAAUCCCGACACGGGGAGGUAGUGACAAUAAAUACUGAUACAGGGCUCUUUUGGGUCUUGUAAUUGGAAUGAGUACAAUUUAAACCUCUUAACGAGGAACAAUUGGAGGGCAAGUCUGGUGCCAGCAGCCGCGGUAAUUCCAGCUCCAAUAGCGUAUAUUAAAGUUGUUGCAGUUAAAAAGCUCGUAGUUGAAAACUUGGGCCUGGCUGGCGGGUCCGCCUCACCGCGUGCACUCGUCCGGCCGGGC
rnacentral:rRNA from 1 species